rnacentral:rRNA from 1 species
GUGCACGCUGGCGGUAGGCCUAACCCAUGCCAGUCGAACGGCAGCACCGUAAGAGCUUGCUCUUACGGGUGGCGAGUGGCGGACGGGUGAGGAAUACAUCGGAAUCUACUUUUUCGUGGGGGAUAACGUAGGGAAACUUACGCUAAUACCGCAUACGACCUACGGGUGAAAGCAGGGGAUCUUCGGACCUUGCGCGAUUGAAUGAGCCGAUGUCGGAUUAGCUAGUUGGCGGGGUAAAGGCCCACCAAGGCGACGAUCCGUAGCUGGUCUGAGAGGAUGAUCAGCCACACUGGAACUGAGACACGGUCCAGACUCCUACGGGAGGCAGCAGUGGGGAAUAUUGGACAAUGGGCGCAAGCCUGAUCCAGCCAUACCGUGUGGGUGAAGAAGGCCUUCGGGUUGUAAAGCCCUUUUGUUGGGAAAGAAAAGCGGCAGGUUAAUACCCCGCUGUUCUGACGGUACCCAAAGAAUAAGCACCGGCUAACUUCGU